GUGGGGAAUAUUGCGCAAUGGGGGAAACCCUGACGCAGCAACGCCGCGUGAGUGAUGAAGGUCCUCGGAUCGUAAAGCUCUGUCGGCAGGAACGAUGGGUCAUGUGGCUAACAUCCACGCGACUUGACGGUACCUGCAAAGGAAGCACCGGCUAACUCUGUGCCAGCAGCCGCGGUAAGACAGAGGGUGCAAGCGUUGUUCGGAAUCAUUGGGCGUAAAGGGCGCGUAGGCGGUCAGGUAAGUCAACUGUGAAAGCCCAGGGCUCAACCUUGGAAGUGCAGCUGAAACUACCUGACUUGAGUCUCGGAGAGGGUGGUGGAAUUCCCAGUGUAGAGGUGAAAUUCGUAGAUAUUGGGAGGAACACCGGUGGCGAAGGCGACCACCUGGACGAUGACUGACGCUGAGGCGCGAGAGCGUGGGGAGCAAACAGG
rnacentral:rRNA from 1 species